GACAAGCACAAUUUACAUUGAGCUCGCCUCGCGCUGCUAUUUACUUUGAAACCUGAUUAGCCUACGGGCCGUCUAUUGUCACAAAAAGAGGAAGAAACCCUGGAUAGAAUAGCCGAAAAGAUGGGUAAAAGAGGGGACAAAGCUUUGCGCACGUGAAAUAAACAAACGUGCGAGGCGAAAGGGACUCGCAUAGAAGGACUCGCAUAGAAUUCCCCAAAGUUUGAAAUGAUGCUGUGUUCCUGAAGAAGAUUCCAAAACGCAACAGCUGCUGCUUCUUUUUUAGAUUGAGGAAAGUCCUUCAAGGGAGUGAGCGACUGUGCAACAUGACCGUGCCAUACUGAAAGGAACGUCAUGGCAAGUUCCCCUCCUUUGGAAUAAAGAGCAUCAUCUUGUCACACAGUCAGAAUCGACAGAGGGUUGUGAUGUCAUGUGUAAAAUAAAUGUCUCUGUUCAUAUAAGCUUAGUUACAGCAGCAUCCAUGACAUCAUGACAUCAGCACCGUCACACAAGGUUUGGCUCACAAUGGCCACAACCUGGAUUUAUUUGACCUUUGACAUCUGAAUAAUGUAGUCUUCAGAAAUAAUAAUAAUAAUAAUAAUAAUAAUAAUAAUAAUAAAUACUGAUUAUCAGAACUCCCAGCUUAGGUAGGUACAUCUGUGCUUUAUCUUGGCCAGGUCGCAGUUGUAAAUGAGAACUUGUUCUCAAGUGGCUUACCUGGUUAAAUAAAGGUGAAAUAAAAUAAAUAAAUAAAUCUGUGAGUUAUGCAUUUGUCUACAGGAUAAGGAUUGCUAUUAUGCCUGUGUCAGUAGGUAAAGGGCAAGACAGACCAACACAAAUGUCGGCUGUGCUCAGUGGGCCACCUACUGGGUGUCGACGAACGGUGGCGAUUCAACAUGUAGAAUCGUUGGGAAAUUAGCAGAAAAUUACGGCCGAUGUACUGUUGUCAGCGGUGAUGGCCAACCGCUGUACACCUGCUGUGCGCGGCCGACGUUCCUGCUGGUCUGUCUUGGCCUUAAGAAUAUAUGAGCUUCGCCUGUGUCCGUAGCUGAAGAUAUCUACUGUGCUAUGAGUUAUGCCUGUGUCAGAGAUGAUCAACAUGCCUUUGCUUGUGUCCUCACUGCCCUGGCCUGGACCCCAGAGUACAUAUUUACAGGGUGUACUAACCUUAACACCACGCUGCUCUCCUUUCCUCCUCACUCAGCUAACCUCGGUCCCCCCUACCCAGUAUCCCAUACAGCCCUCAGGGUCAAUGGAAACAGAAUCAAUGUUUUAUGAAGAUGUAUAUCAUGUAUAAUAACAUUCUCAAGUCCAAAUGUAUUUGUGAUGCCAUUAGUGUUUUAUUGUCAGUGUUCUUAUUGUUACAUUCAGAAUCUAAGGUGAAGCUAGCUGUAUUAUGCUGGGCAAAAAUGAUUUUGACGUACUUGAUCAAGUGCCCGUCCUUUACUUUUUAUUUGUGUAUGUGUAUGUGAUUCUCUGUGUGUGUGUGUGUGUGUGUGUGUGUGUGUGUGUGUGUGUGUGUGUGUGUGAGAGACCACAUGGCAAGUUUACCUCGGAUGACCCCGCUGACACGAGAAGUCCGAGCUGAGGUCAAACUGUGACAAAUGGGUUCUGGGGCUGAACAGCAAACAUUCCACAACAUGUUCCUCUUCAACAUCUCCUCCUCUCCUUCCUCUACUUAUCCCUCCCUACACUUCUCCUCUAAACAUCUAUCUCUUCAAAGGUUGUACGAAUGCACUUAUCAAUUAAACAUAAACAUGUUGUAUGUGAUGGCAGAGGUUGUGGGAAUCUCCCAGAACAUGAACUUCCGAGGAAGGCAAGCAUUACAGCGCUAUUUGAAUGCAAUGCUCUACAAAGCUCUGCCAUGUUUACAGAUGAAUAAAGGAAAAAGAGACUGAUGUUAGUAGAAAAAGAGAAGUGACCCCCUUGGAUGUUAAUAUCAUAAGCUUUUCUUGAUCAGUGAUGUAGAGGUUGAGAGAAAAUAUAGUGCUGAGUUUAAACAGGAUGUGUAGGCUGUAGCAUCCUAUCCUCCUCCCCCUGCAAUAUCCCACCAUUUCUUUAGCCCUACCUCCUCUUUCCUCUUCCUCCCUCCCUCCAUCUCUUGCUCCCUCCCUCCCUCUCUCCCCUGUUUCUCUCAGACUUUCCAGAAUGCUCCUCCGCAGAAUCCUGCCACCUGUGUCAGUCACAGAAUCUAUUGGUAUUCCUCUUUGAGGCUGGUUAAGGUAAGUGGCAGCCCCCAUUACAAUGACAAGGCAAGUAAUGAUGCUGCUUGUCCCGCGGUUCCCCAUUAUUUAUUUAUGCUUUCCCAGGGAGUGAUCCUACCACCUCCACCCCCAGUCCUGCCCACUCGCUACAUUUUUUAAGAACACAUGCAGUCGCCACAGGUGAACGUCAGCGCAGCCAUUGCAUGUCACAGGCAGACCAUACAGGAGGCUGAUGCAAUGAUGUGCUGGGAUACCCUGAGUUUUAAUCAUGAUCAUGUGUAAUAGCAUUACUGUCAGAGAAAGCAAAACAACUGUCUGAAUAAAAUAAUCAAAGACGUUUCA